AUUGAACGCUGGCGGCAGGCCUAACACAUGCAAGUCGAACGAGUGGCGGACGGGUGAGUAAUGUCUGGGAAACUGCCUGGUGGAGGGGGAUAACUACUGGAAACGGUAGCUAAUACCGCAUACCAUCGGAUGUGCCCAGAUGGGCUUAGCUAGUAGGUGGGGUAAAGGCUCACCUAGGCGACGAUCCGUAGCUGGUUUGAGAGGAUGACCAGCCACACUGGAACUGAGACACGGUCCAGACUCCUACGGGAGGCAGCAGUGGGGAAUAUUGCACAAUGGGCGCAAGCCUGAUGCAGCCAUGCCGCGUGUAUGAAGAAGGCCUUCGGGUUGUAAAGUACUUUCAGCGGGGAGGCGUUACCCGCAGAAGAAGCACCGGCUAACUCCGUGCCAGCAGCCGCGGUAAUAC
rnacentral:rRNA from 1 species